rnacentral:lncRNA from 1 species
CCAGAUGAUGUUGAGUAGGGGGCUGCCUCAGAUUACAGAAGAAACCUAGCUUAGAAGAUCAACUAGAACACAUCAUCAUUCUACCAGAUAUUCCAGUUCUAAUUAUGUUGUAGUUACUGAAGGGAGGGAGCAAGAAAGCUUCCAAGUAGUUUAUAAUCAUAAAGAGAAAGCUCAAUGGUUGAAAGCAAUGUAGGAGGAAACAAGUUUUUUGAACAACAAUAAUGCUUAUGAG